AUGCAUUCCCCCGCGCCGGCCGCGGGCGCCGCCUCCGUCCCCCCCAAGGACUCCCGCCCGCUCCCCUGCCUCCUCCUCGUCUCCCUCCUGCUCCUCCUCCUGCUCCACUUCCUCUCCUCCUCCUCCCCUUCUACGCCCGCGCCUCCGGACGCGCCCCACCGCGCGCCGCUCCUGGCCGGCGCCGACUCCGCCGGCCCAGCCCCGCCCGCGCUCGCAUUCCUCCUCACCGGCUCCGCGGGCGACGCCGACCGCCUACACCGCCUGCUCCUCGCCACCUACCAUCCCCGCAACCUCUACCUCCUCCUACUCGACCGGGCCGCCCCCGCGUCCGACCGCGUGCGGCUCGCCCGGGAGGUGCGCGCUGGCCCCGGCCGCGCCGGCAACGUCCACGUCGUGGGCGACCCCGGGUUCGCUAACCCGCGCGGUGCUUCCGCGCUCGCCGCCGCGCUGCACGGCGCCUCUCUGCUGCUGCAGCUCGGCCAGGGCUGGGACUGGUUCGUGCACCUCGACGCCGGGGACUACCCGCUCGUCGCCCCCGACGAUCUCCUACAUGUCUUAUCAUAUCUACCAAGGGAUAUAAACUUCAUUCAGCAUACCAGUUAUAUUGGCUGGAAGGAGUCAAGACAUAUAAGACCAAUUGUUGUUGAUCCUGGUCUAUACCUCUCAUCAAGGACUGACAUUUUUUAUGCCACUCAAAAGCGUGAACUGCCAAGUGCAUACAAAUUAUUUACUGGUUCUUCAUCUGUCAUCCUUUCUCGGGCAUUUACCGAGUAUUGUAUUGUCGGAACAAAUAAUCUACCAAGAACUAUGCUAAUGUACUACACUAACAUGCCCUUGCCACACAAGAAGUAUUUCCAGACAGUCCUCUGCAAUUCCCCCAAGUUCAACAGGACCGUUGUUAACCAUGACCUGCACUACUGGGCAUCGGAUGGGACGUCCAAAAACGAGCCCCGUCUGCUGACCCUAACUGACGCGGAAAACAUGACCGCGAGCAGCGCUGCCUUCGGCACUAGAUUCGCGAAGGAUGACCCUGUGCUCGACCACAUUGACGAGGAGAUUUUGCAACGCCUGCCUGGAGAGCCAGCCCCAGGGGGAUGGUGCAUCGGUGCUGGGGACGACAGUCCCUGUUCUGUUUCGGGUAGCACGGAUGUUCUUAGACCUGGGCCUGCGGCUAUGAAACUUGCCAAGUUCCUUGCACAAAGGCUAUCCUAUCCAGGUUUUUAUUCUCAGCAGUGUAUAUGGGACUGA
rnacentral:rRNA from 1 species